CCGAGACUAACAGCGGAUCACUUCGGAGGCCAAGAGUGAGUCUCGGCAUACAGACAUCAGUCCAUAAACACACGUCCAUGGUGAGACGAGACGACAGAUGUCAUAGUUGUAAUGACGUCAAAAGACUAGUUUGACGUGAGGAGAGAAGCAGACAUGCUGAACUGGUGAAGCCAUCGAGAAUAAAAGGACGCGACAUUUUGCUGGCGCUGUUCCUGCUCCACAGCGCCAACUGAUGUCAACGAGUGGUGCUGGUGUGAUGUGAUGUUGAUGAGGUCCUACCUAGCACUCAAUCAAACGCAGGCAAAACUGUUCUCGACCCGUUCUGCACGUCUGCUUCUCUCCUCACGUCAAAUUAGUCUUUUGACGUCAUUACAACUAUGACGUCUGUCUUCUCAUCUCACCUCUGCCCUCACAUCGCCCUAAUCAAUCACCGCCGGACUACCGCCCUUCUACAAAAAGCAGAAGAAAUAAAAUAACGGCGCCUGCUCAGAAUGCCUGUGUCGGCCUACUAGCAGCCGCGUGUGUCACAAGUAGAUGUUUCCGUUGUGCCCUGCCCCCAUCCCAAGAUUUCGGCCAGUUAUGCAGCAUGGCACGAAUGCAGAAGAAGAAGAAAAAAAACCUUACAAGCCUACUGAUGGAAGGACAUUUUAAGUGCGGCGAUAAGAACAGACUGGAGUUUCGCCUGUGGAUUCAGUCACCAAGAUGUGUAUUUUCUGUCAUCAUAACUCACUGCCACAGGUCUGUCUGUGUGUACGCAUGACAUACAGCCGUAACCCAGUGUAACCUUACUGUCGUCUUCUCUCACACGCCUGUAUUCAGUUUCCGGCUAACGUGACGGACCGCCAUUUCGAUCACAAGACGUGCAAGAGUGGUCCUACUUGGAUUUUCCUCUCACGUGACUUUGCUUCCAUCCGGCGAAAGUUUUGGCAUCGGCUGGCACGAGGUCUAAUCUCGGCCCAGCGGGAGAUGAAAGCCUUGUGUACUUUCCAAGGUGGAAGGUUGUGCCCUCAAUACGAGAUCCUUCAUUUCUCAAGACCGGGAUCUGUCAUCUGCUACUCCAACUGCCUGUCUUGCCCUGCGGGCAGUCAACCGCAACUUGUCGUCUUGAAAAAAAUGUGAUGGACGGCCUGACAAGAAGCCAUGGCUGGCUGUGUACGCAUCCUGGCCCCCACGUGAUUUGUGUGUGAGUGGGAAGGUCGUUCGUGGCAUCUGCAUCUUCGGCGUAGGGCGACCUGCCCCAGAUCAUGGAGCGCAAGGAGC
rnacentral:misc_RNA from 1 species